UAAAAGGCUCUUUUAAGAGCCACCACGUGGUUAAUA
rfam:Scleropages formosus scaffold5049, whole genome shotgun sequence.